rnacentral:rRNA from 1 species
AGGGGAUCUUCGGACCUUUCGCUAUGAGAUGAGCCUGCGUUAGAUUAGCUAGUUGGUAGGGUAAAGGCCUACCAAGGCGACGAUCUAUAGCUGGUCUGAGAGGACGAUCAGCCACACUGGGACUGAGACACGGCCCAGACUCCUACGGGAGGCAGCAGUGGGGAAUAUUGGACAAUGGGCGAAAGCCUGAUCCAGCAAUACCGCGUGUGUGAAGAAGGCCUUAGGGUUGUAAAGCACUUUCAAUUGGGAGGAAAACCUGCCGGCCAAUACCCGGUAGCUUGACAUUACCUUUAGAAGAAGCACCGGCUAACUCCGUGCCAGCAGCCGCGGUAAUACGGAGGGUGCGAGCGUUAAUCGGAAUUACUGGGCGUAAAGCGUGCGUAGGCGGUUCGUUAAGUCAGAUGUGAAAGCCCUGGGCUCAACCUGGGAACUGCAUUUGAAACUGGCGGACUAGAGUUUAGUAGAGGGGAGUGGAAUUUCAGGUGUAGCGGUGAAAUGCGUAGAUAUCUGAAGGAACACCAGUGGCGAAGGCGACUCCCUGGCUUAAAACUGACGCUGAGGUACGAAAGCGUGGGUAGCAAACAGGAUUAGAUACCCUGGUAGUCCACGCCGUAAACGAUGUCAACUAGC